UCAAAAGUGAUGAUCAGGAAGAGUAGUCCGCGAAGGGGUGCCUCAGCGAGCCGGGAUAGGUGAAAGCCGGCGCAGGCCCCGCGGGCGAAUGGCCCUGAGAACGCGGCCCGAAUCCGGCAUGCCGGCAGUAGGCGCCGCCGGCAAUGCCCGUUACCACGCAAAAGCGAGGGAACGCGUGCGCGUUAAUUUGGGUGGUACCGCAGAAGUCAGGCUUUUGUCCCAUGG
rnacentral:ncRNA from 1 species